ensembl:lncRNA
UUUUUUUUUUUUUUUUUUUUUGGUGGGGGGAUAAGCCUAUCUCAUGCAAAACCUGGAACAUACUUAACUAAAAUACAUUUGUUUGUCUGAAAUUGAAACAGAACCAAGCAUCCUGUUUUGUUUUAUGUGGCAGCCCUAUUUGGGAGUAAUGAAGUUCAAUUCAUUUCAUGGAGACCUUGACUUCUCGCUCCUGGCUCAGGAGUAAGACCUCUCCAGAGCCCAUGAUUCGUAUAAAGCCUUGAUCAGAGGACACGAAGAGUCACAUCUAAAAUGCUGAUAAUGAAUUCAUUUAUUCAUUGACCAAGCCAGAGCCAGAGCCAGGACUCGCCCUCAUCUGGCCAAUUCCAGAGACACAAAGCCAGGACAUGCCCUGGGAAGGCUGCCUGGCGGCGUCUGUGUCCACAGCCCCAGCACACAAGCAGCCUCAUGAUCCCCUGCCCCUCCACACCUCCAAAUACAAAGUGCAGGAAGGAGUGAGUGAGUGGAAGCUCCCGAGCUGGAGCAGAGCUGCGGGGGGCGCCACACCGGGUCAGGUGUCCCCAGAGUUUCAGUGGGACUGGAUUGAAGGCCUGUCCACACCUCACCAGUUUACAAUUGUCCCGACACUAAUUUUGGAAACAGGCACGAGCUCUUGUUAGAAGAAAGACAGAAAGAGAACAGAGAAAGAGGAAUGAAGGGCAGGGGAGGGGACGGGAAGGAGAGAGGAAAUGAGAAAGCAUGAGAAGACUGGGCCGUCAGGGGCACCUCACUCAUGCAUCCUGUGUACUUAGGUAGCUAUCUGUUGAAUUAGUUAGCUAUUGCUGGGUAACAAACUACCCCAAACACAGUGGUGUAAACACCCCACCCCCCACAACCCCACCUAUGAGCUCGCAGUUCCAUUGGUGCGAAGACUGGCUAGAUUCUCCGCUCAGGGUCGUCUCGCUGGGCUGACAUCAAGGCAUUGGUGGGGCUGUGUCUCCUUCUGGAGAUCCUGGGGAAGAAUCUGUCUCCAAGCUCAUUCAGGUUGUCAGCAGAAUCCAGUUCCUUGUGGCUGUAGGACAGAAGUCCCACCUCCUUGACUGGAAGCCCUCCUUCAUCUUCAAGCCAGCCACAAUACUGUGUUGAUCCUUUAAGUUUCAGAUCUCUCAGGCCACCACCCUCACCCUCCUGACCACAUCUCUAUCUCCUCUUCCACCUCUGUACCCAAGGACGCCUGUGAUGAUACUGGACUCACUGGGAAUAACUGAGGACGAUCUCCCUAUCGAAGGGUCAAUGGAUUAGAAAUCUUUCCUACCUCUGCCAAGUCCCCUUUGCUGUGUGGGGUUAUGUAUUAAGGGGUGUGGUUUCAUAUCCCGCUCACAGCUCUGGGGACGGGGUGGAAUCUGCCUGGGAUCCCACCUUCUCACUCACACAGCCUGGAUGCACACACUGGAAGGACAGUGGAGCACCAGGCGAACCCAGCCCCAUUCCCUGGAAGUGACUUUGCAGACAGCUCAGGUGAGCAAUGGAAGGGCCUCUACCCCGGGUUCUGGUCCACAGGAAACAGCUGCCUGGGAGCCUCCUGAGGACGUUAUGCCAGAUAGUGUGUUCCUGGGAUCCCCAGGCUGAUAAUUUUCCCAUCUAUCUAGAAGCAAAACACAGGGUCUUGAAAAGAAAUAGGAAAUAUUCCCACGUCGUGUGGGGAAAGCAGAUGCAAAACCAGUCUUCCAUCACUGUAAUGCACCCAGGAUGAAAGUACCUGGCUGUGUCUGGCUCCAUAUUCUUGACUGUGGCCCUUCAGGGCUCCUGGCGGAAUGAUUGUUUCAUUGUUGUCUGAUACGCUUGGCGCUCCUGCAUGGUGCAGUGAUUUGGGACCCAGUAACUUCAGUGACAUUUGGUGGCAAUAAAGUCCAGCUCUACAGGGCCCAAGUGACCCCCAACCACUCCCUCCUCCUAGUCCAACACUGAGCACUUCACAACAAUCCCAGAUAAUAACACACACCCCGGGGAGACGCCAGGCUCCUUACUUUACGUGUGUGUGUGUUACAACAUGAUUCCCAAGCAGCUCUGCCAGUCUCAAGCAUGACUGCGCCCAGGCUGAUAGGAGCCCCGGGAUGGUGGGUGAGGGUCUGUCUGCAGGGCCCUGAGAGAUGAGGAGAACAGCGUGCCUCACAGCUCUCCUUUUUGAAAGUCUACUCCUACGGCAGCACCUGAGAGCAGUGGGGACGCCUGCACACCAGGUCCCUGGCUAAACCAUGACAAUAAAAGCAGGCUCUGACCAGCUUCCUCGUGAAGCGCCUUGUUUCCAUUAACUACACUUUCUGGUUACCCAGGGAUUCCAUUUUGCUC